ensembl:lncRNA
UGACUCCUGCAUGUCCUUUCUCACCUCCCUGGGCCUCUCUCUGUCCUCCUGCCACAAUAUCCUACUCCCAAUGUAACCCUCAUUGCUCUUCUGUGCAUGUCCAAACGCAACAUUUUUUUGGACUAAAAUGUUAAAAACUUAAAGUAACAUUCAUGUGCUUUCCUUUCCAGGUCAUGUACACGCGGGCUGUUUGGAGGGAGGGUACCCAAGAGAAGGAGGGUGUAGUUCCUGACAUUUGGAUCAAUAGAGAAAAGAAGACCGUCAGAUGGCCACGUAAAAUGACCGCAACAAAUACUGAAAAAGCUAUAAAGGACAAAAUGAAACCCCAGGAUGACUGGAUGACAUUUUCAUUAUUAAAGAUAAAAAUUACUUCAGAUAAGCGUCGUGAAGCACUUUCCCUACUGCGCCAAGGAAGCUGCAGCCCAUUGAGGACACAAACAUGUUGCACAAUACUUAUGGAGCCAUGUCUGGCCAAGUGGAGAGUGCGGACAGUCCCUGGGACAGUGAAAUGUCCACUCCUAAUGCAUGCACAGCACCUCUGAGUAGAGACCAGUCGACACCCAGGGAGUAUUUAUCACACCACACUUUAAACAGUUACUUUUGUAUUUUGUCAGGUCUUCUGAAAUGCAUGAAUAUUCUGUGUUUUUCAGGAUCUCGACAUGCGAGGGAUGGCUAUCGCUCCAGGUCUAGCAGUAGGUCCAGCGGUGGAUCCAGCCUCAGAUCCUGGCACGGUGAUAGUUCAAGGCACACCGCCAGGUCCAGCCAUGAUGGGUCACGGCACAGUGAUGUCAGGUCCAGACAUGACGGGUCACGAAACAGGUCCAGACAUGAUGACCGAUCCCAUGGUGAUGCCCCCAGUCUCCCGGCCAGGUCCAGAUAUGACAGAGCACAGCAUGGUGAUCUCAACAGCCUCCACUAUGACAGGCAUGAUGCAGUGACUGAGACUGGGAGAUGGGCCUUCCCAUUGCCUUGGGAUGUGUUCCAGAAAAGAUUCCUGAACCUACUGGUGGAUAUCCACAAUCGCCUGAAGGAAACACAGCCUGCCUCUUCAGCUGUCCAUAUUGAGAGGAUUGACACCAUGGAGGAGUUUGAGUUACAGGAGCAACGCCUCUCUGACGCACAGACCUUUGAUACACUAGUGCUGCAAAUUUCAAGAAUUGGUGGGCGGAACACCAAGAACUGUGCCCACAAAGUGUUGGACGGGCUCUUCACCAACAGCCUCAUGGCCAAAUUUAAUUUGAAGGGCAAGGGGCCUUAGUGUUAGUUGAUGGUUUUGUAUUUAUCCAGUAUUGGUAGUGGAUGUACAGGAAACAUAUUUUUGCUUACAAAUCUGGGGACUUGGGUGUAUGACUGCAGAUUGACUUUGCAUAAUCAUUUGUCUUUUUCUGCUCGUGCAGAAGGGCUCAUGAAAUUCGAUCCCACAGCCACUGAGGAGAACAUCAAAGUGAACGUGUCCGAGCACCUGAAGCCGCGCCGCAAAGACGUGGAGGAUUUACAACGCCCCGAUAAGCCAGCCCCCUCACUCCAUGCAGGAAGACGGUUCUAAAUGAUAUCGGCUUCCACCUCACCAGUGAUGUGGCGACAGAGGCGUGGACAUUUAGUCAAGAUUGUGUUUCCAUUUUUUUUGUAUAACUGGAGCUACAUGAAUCACUGGAUGGCUCAGAUAUAUAUAUACACACACACUCACGAUUUUUGAAAGAGUUAAAUUAAAAGUUCAAAUCAAUUAAAAUAUUAUUCAUUCAUAAUUCUUCUUCACUGGAUGACUCAUAUAUACACCCACUCACUUAUACAGAAUUUUGAAAGAGUUAAAUUAAAAGUUCAGUUCAAUUCAAUUAAAGUCGUAUUAUUCAUUUAUAAUUCUGCCUCAACUGUAUUAUACUUGAUAAGUCUGGUGCCCAUCCUAUGCCAUUCAGGGCCAUUUGUUUUUGAAUAAAGAUGGUCUUCUUCUUCUUCUUCUUUUUUGUUUACUGGCAGAUCGCACCAACUUAAAGGUGCAUAUACCGCCACCUACUGCACUGGAGUGUGAGGCCGGUCACGGCCUCCCUUCUAUAUCCUGUUGUACAGCCCCGUGUUCCUAAGAAAAAUAAAUACUGCCUUCAUUACUGCCUCCUUCCCUUUUCCACCCCCAAGCACCCCACCUCAGUCCCAGCCCCGCUUUGUCUCCCUGACACUACCAUACAACACCACCCUCUCCUUAUCAUACUUCCCACAGACAAACAGUACAUGCUCAACUGUUUCCACCACCUCACAUCUAUCACACAAACCUGUGUCAUGUUUUGCCACCACUCUCAACGUGCCAUUCAACCCUGUGUGCCCAUACCUUAACCUACUCCACACUACCUCUUCCCUCCUGCACCCCAUCAUUCCCCCAACCUCCUUCACUGACCUAUUUAUACCCCGGAAGUGCCUCCCUUUACCACCAUCACCCCACUGUCUCUCCCACUCCGCAAUCCCUGCUUCCCGUAUCAACGACUUAACCUCCCUGCGCCCUAACGACACCCUUACAUCCACCUCAGUCCUCCUUACAGCACUCUUUGCCACCAUGUCAGCCACCUCAUUACCCUCCACUCCAGCAUGCGCAGGAACCCAGCAGAACCUCACCUCUACUCCCUGUCUCUCCAACCCCAGCAAUAUCCCCAUCAAUUCUCCCAGUAGGUCUUCCCUGUCAGACCUACCAUCCAGAACACUGCUUAACACUGCUGCUGAGUCUGAACAUAUCAGCACCCUACAUGGUGUCACAUCCUUAAAGAUGGUGUUACGUCCGGCUGCUCCAUUAGUGUUGACUCCUCCCCCAUGUCUUUGUUUUCAGUCGUUCUUCCCAGGUGUGGUGAGUUGCUGCUGACGAUGCAGGCGUGGCCAGCUGUUCCUCCAGCCAAUCCAGCUCUCAGCUCUGCUCCUUUAAAAUGUUUGUUUGUGAGAGCUUGAAAAGAGGGGGGCUUGUGUUUUGGGAGAGAUUGAGAGUGACAUUGAUUUAGAUAUUGAAAGAAUAUAUGGUUUAUGUUGUUUGUUAAACUGUGGUCUAUUGUACACAUUAAGGUCUGUGUUUAUGUACUUACCCCAAGAGCGCUGUGGAGCAGGGCUAGGUAAGAUACCCUGGGGUCUACAUACACCCGUAGGGAAAACCUCUGUUAGAUACACUAGAUUAGAAGCCAGCGGCUGUCACCCAGUGUAUUGUAGCAGUGAGGUAAGUGGUGUGAUAGGUUAGAUUGUGGUAGGUAGGUUUAGAGGGUUAGGGAAGCUCAGGGUCCUUUGUUUUGUUUCUUUGCUUUGACAGACCGCUGGCACCGCUCUACUCCACAGGCCUUGUUACCUGUUAGUCCUCCCAUCCCGUGUCUUUGUACUUGGGUGUAAUUGUUUGUUGAAAUGUUUGUAUUGUUAUUGUAGGGGAAAUAAACCCACCAUAGCCAUCCAUUGUAGUAGUGUCCUUUACUUAUUGUGGUAGCAAGCUGGGGCCUUCGCACACAGGUUCAGAAUCACCCAGUGGGCGUGGUCUUGGGCAGUUACGCCUUCCUCCUCUCCUGAGCCGGGGUGGAGGCGUAACAGCAACCAACGACUUCCACACACAAAGACGUGACUCUCUAGGUCGUCUUCAGCAAAACACGUGACUCCACCUGUUGUUCUGGAGGUGAAUCGCUCUGCAACACACGCACGACUUUACAACCAGGAAGUGAAACGAGGGCGUCGACACGACGUAAAGACGAAGAAGCAUGCAGCAGCCUUUAGCACCUUGAGUUUUCCCUCAGGUCUGAGACCUCCUCGCCUGUCUCCACUCUUUAGCAUAACAAAACCAAGGUGUUAACACUGUUCAAUGUAUAAAUAUCUUUAUACAUUAAGAAGACUGACUUGCCACUGACUGUCGAUGUAUAGCUGUUGUAGUCUUCUUCUUCCUUGCAAGGAAUAAACAGAAAAUACAACUUUCAUUCACAAGAGACUUAAUAGCUGAUUCCUGAUUGCAUGAUUGGCCCUCAACAACCACACUCAAAGAACAAGAUAAAACAUUCAAUCCCUCAAGCUAGUCUGUUUUCUUCGGAAAUGUCCACAGAGUGUUGUAAUGGAGAGGAUCAGACCAGGGCCCUGUUCCUCAAACGUGGCUAACUGAGUUAGCCGGAUCCUUUUCAGGAUAAGAUGGCGUAGGUCAGCUUUUUUGGUUUCCCAAUGCAGAGAACAUCUGGAAAGCCGCUGCAUGUCGUGCUCUUCGUAAAGUUCUGUUGCUUAAUAAACUUCUGGAUGUUCCACAUUUCACUGCUUCAAUUGAUCAAAUGUCUGAUUAAGAACAAUGGAUGUAUAAUGAUUCUCACACACAUAUAAUAAACUAGUUCUGUGUGGUCAUCUACAUACAUAUGAUACAUAAGCUGAUACAUAGAUCCUAUUCAUUCGUAUCAAUCUGAUGCUUUGGGCUUGUUUUCGUCUACAUACCCUGAAAGAGUUGAGAUCAUUAUUCUCAUUGGGUGAUGAUCAUCAUGAAGCCUCCUGCCAGCAGACACAUUUAAAGAAAUAUAAUCUGAUUGAUUAAAGUGACAGGGCCUUAAAUGAGCCGUUACAUUUUACCAACACGCAUUACGUUAUCUUGUGUACAAAACUUUGUCGGGCUUGUUGUUUUAUUAUAAGAUUCAUUUUAUUUUAUUUUGUAUAGCACAAUAUCGCAAAUUUGCCUCAGAGGUCUUUACAGUCUGUACACAUGUGACAUCCUCUGUCCAGAAACCCUCACAUCGGCACAGGAAAAGCUAUUUCAUUGUCGGCUGGAGUCUGGGGGAGACUUCCCCAAAUCCUGAAAUCUGCUGCCUCAUUGGCAGUUUAAUGGUCUUUGUCAUGAAUGGUGCUCCCCCCCCCCUUUCAUCUUUACACACCUGCCACAACAUUGCUCCAUCCUCAUUGGUCCCCACACAAUUUCUUUCUGCAUCCUGAGCCUGGAAGAUAAUAUUUCCCAUCCCACGGCGGGAGAUUGUCCUUCUGGUCAGCAUUAGCCAAGUUUUACUUCCUGCUUUGCGUCAUCAGCUUUUCCUCUGCUGCUCCUGUUGCCUGGCAACCUGCUGCUUAUUCUUUUCUUGCACAGACUACAAGCUAAUUUAACUGUAACCUUUAGAUAUUAAAGAAUAUGUCAAAGCUGCCGGUCCUUCCUUUCUGCUGCUGUCAGGCUGCACAGCCAUCUCUGCUCCCGGAAGACAGAAACCUGUGCAAUAUAGCAACUGCUGCUAUGAUCAUCAUUAUUACUAUUUUAAAUAUUAAUCAUAUUACUAUUACUGUCAUCAUAAACCGACAUUACCCUUUCCUAAAGUCUUUGUGCUGUCCCUCCCAACAGGCUUCUGUGGAUGGUGGUUCUAUGUGAUGGUGGUUCUAUGUGAUGGUGGUUGUCCCUGCAGUGGUCCUGCCGUACACCUGCUUACUACUCACAAUUACUUGAAUCAUUUCUGUUAUAGGAACUGAAUGUAUUAUACAUCUUUUACAUUGUUCAUUCUGUACACAUGACAUCAUUGUAGUCUGUCCAUCAGGAGACGGAUCCUCCUCUGAUGUUCUCAAUACGGUUUCUUCCCUUUUUUCGCCAUGGAAGGAGUUUUGUGUGGGU